AUUGAACGCUGGCGGCAGGCCUAACACAUGCAAGUCGAACGAGUGGCGGACGGGUGAGUAAUGUCUGGGAAACUGCCUGAUGGAGGGGGAUAACUACUGGAAACGGUAGCUAAUACCGCAUACCAUCAGAUGUGCCCGGAUGGGAUUAGCUUGUUGGUGGGGUAACGGCUCACCAAGGCGUCGAUCCCUAGCUGGUCUGCGAGGAUGACCAGCGACACGGGAACGGGUACGCGGUCGAGAACCCUACGGGAGGCAGCAGGGGGGAAUAUUGGACAAUGGGCGCAAGCCUGAUGCAGCCAUGCCGCGUGUAUGAAGAAGGCCUUCGGGUUGUAAAGUACUUUCAGCGGGGAGGCGUUACCCGCAGAAGAAGCACCGGCUAACUCCGUGCCAGCAGCCGCGGUAAUUC
rnacentral:rRNA from 1 species